UCGGACGUAGCUCAACUGGUAGAGCAGCGGUCUCCAAAACCGCCGGUUGCGAGUUCAAGUCCCGCCGUCCGGGC
rnacentral:tRNA from 1 species